rnacentral:rRNA from 1 species
UACGUAGGGGCCGAGCGUUGUCCGGAGUUACUGGGCGUAAAGGGCGCGUAGGCGGCUUUGUGCGUCACACGUGAAAGCCCCUGGCUUAACCAGGGAGGGUCGUGUGAAACGGCGAAGCUGGAGGCAGAGAGAGGCUGGUGGAAUUCCCGGAGUAGUGGUGAAAUGCGUAGAUAUCGGGAGGAACACCGGUGGCGAAGGCGGCCAGCUGGCUCUGACCUGACGCUGAGGCGCGAAGGCGAUGGGGAGCGAACGGGGAUU